GAAAAAGCUCAGCCCAGAAUCGGAGAUGGCAAGCAGAACAGCUUGGAUUGUGGCAGCCAGCGUUGGAGCAGUGGAGGCUUUGAAGGAUCAAGGCUUCUGCAGAUGGAACUACACUCUGAGAUCUCUUCACCAGCAUGCCAAGAACAAUCUUGGGUCCCUCUCUCAAUCUAAGGCCCUCGCUUCUUCUUCUUCUUCUUCUUCAUCAUCUUCUUCUUCUUCGAAGAUGGGUGUGAAUACUAGUGGGGAAGAUGAGAAAAGGAAGAAGAAGACAGAGGAAACAUGGGGGAAAGUCGUGUACUUGAACUCCUGGGGUCCCCACUGAAGCAAUGGACCUCUACUUUUAAGGUGUAUUACAAGAGCGAAAAUGUAGUAGAGGGCAGAUUUUAAUGUAUACUUUCGAAAAAUUUAUCAGAUUUCAGAUUUAUUACCAGAAUGAUUGUGUUACCUUUCAUGAUUUUUGCCAUGGGAACACUUUCUUUGUUGGAUUUGAUUGCAUUUUAGCCUCUUCAAAAAAGGAGCAAUCAAGACUUUGAAACAAACAGCACUUAAAAGAUCCACCUUCAGUAUAUUGUAUAUUGUAUUUUAUAGUUUGUUUUGAAUUGAUUGAUCAGGCAUUGUUCAUCCCCACAUUCCCUUCCUCCCAUCAGUAAAUCUCAUAACUACGGUUUGGGCCUAAUUUCAUCUGGUUAAGAAAAUCAUAUUGAUGAUUAAUUGGCUAUUUAGAAUCUUAUCAUGGUUUUAAUAGAAUCCCCUUUAAAUUAAUAGUUUAUUAGAAUAUUAGUGCUUUAAUAUAUAGUAUUAGUUUAUAUUUGGAAAUAAUAAUUUUAUAUAAUAUUAAAAUUUGUUCAGAUUCUCUGUUCGUUUUCUUGUUUAUUAAUCUUAUGUUUGGGUUUUGAAAAAAUGAAAAAUUUGUGAAAAAUGUGAGAAAAAUAAAAAGUGAAGAAAUAUGAAAAAUGCAUUUAAAGUUAAUAAAAUAAUUAUUUUUAGAUACUUCAUUAAAUUUAUUUUAUUUUAUUUAUAAAUUGUAAAUACAUCAAAUAAUUUGAAAAUAUAAAUAUUUUUAAUUAAUUUUAAUUACUCUUUUUUUUCCAUAUUUUAUCAUGAUAAAUUAGAUAUGAUAAAGUCAGUUUUUUUUUCUUUCACCCUUUGUUAGGCUUUCCCAACCAAACAUAGCCUAACUUACUUGUUUGGAGUCUUUUGGACAGCUCACAGAAAUUAGUCAGCAAAUUGUUUUGGAUUGCCGCAUUGUCACUUCUGAAACCAGCGGUUUCACUCCUUUUACUCUUCUACAAGAAAACGGAGGGCACAUAUCUGGCAACUGCCACCAUAAUUGCCCCUAGUUGGGUCCAAACAUGCAGGUGAAGGUCCAAUCAUGCCCACAGCUAAUUUCCUUUAGCAUCACAAAUCCAAGGACAAAGUAGUCAUUCCAAUUCAAAUCAAUCAACCCAUGAAAACUGCUGGCCAAAGCCUCUGGUUUUUCCCAAACUUUGGGCACCAAAUCCAACCCAUCUCUUGCUAUAAAACCAGCCCACCUUGACUUCAACUUCUUCAUCACAAGAUUCACAACACAAACACUUUGAUUUAGACAGAGAUCUUCAAUAACCAUUCGCCACUCAGAAUCAGUUCUUUUUAUUGUUGAUUGUUGUUUUGAGUUUUGGAGAAAGAAAAUUAAGAAGAUGAGUCAUAUGGGGAAAGCUUGGAUGGUGGCAGCAAGUGUGGGAGCAGUGGAGGCACUCAAGGAUCAGGGCUUUUGCAGAUGGAAUUACACCAUGAGGUCUAUUCACCAGCAUGCCAAGACCAACCUCAGGUCCUUUUCUCGGGCCAAGAAGCUCUCUUCUUCCUCUUCUGCCAUGGUUUCUAGCAGAGUGAGAGAUGAGAAGGCAAAGCAGUCAGAGGAGUCCUUGAGGACUGUCAUGUACCUGAGCUGCUGGGGGCCCAACUGAGGAAUAAGAUCUGGCCGGGUAUGAAGAUGAUGAUCAUCCUACCACUGAAUCAUCCAUGGAGGGCAUAUCCCAAGAAAGUGAUGAGAACAAUCUUAGUUCCCUACUUCGCUCUCUCAAGCUAAGAGCCUCUCUUCUUUUUCUUCUUCUUCUGAUAAGACGGGUGCAAACAAUGGCGGGGAAGAUGAGAAAAGGAAGAAGAAGACACAGAAAACAUUGGGAAAAGUCAUGUACUUGAGCUCCUGAGUCCCCCGUGAAGCAAUGGAUAGAGAUUUUGGGACGUGAUGCAAGAGUGAAAAAUUUGUAGAGAACCGCAGAUAGAUAUGAUGAUAUUGAUUUCAAUGUGUACUUCCAAAAAAAUGAUAUCAAAUUUCAGAUUUAUUAUCAUAAUAUUGUGUUGCCUUUCAUCAUUUUUGCCAUGGGAGUUGUUGGUUUUCGAGAGGGUUAGAAACUAAUUCUAUUUCGGAAAAAAGGAAUCACCAUCUUUGAGCAGUUCGAAAUUGCCCAGAUCUAAAAAAGACCUCGAUAAAAUAUAAAAAUGUUGCGCAGCUUGAGAUAUUUUUGUUCAUGAUUUGAUAGUCAUUUUUAAAAACGUUUUUAUUAUUUUUAAUAUUUAAAUGACAUAUAUUAAAAAAUUAAAAUUUUUUUUUCAAUUACUAAACAUUUCCUAAAAUUAUUACCUUUUAAUACUUCUUGAGCCCUCUCCUAUACUUCUUUUUCUCAAACAGUCUUUCUCAAUUCCGUCCUCGAUCUGAAAGAAUUUUAGCUUCUUUGAGUCUUACAAAAUAGAACAAUCAAAGCAAGAUCCGUCAUUUAGACACUAGGCUCAAAGGUUUCAUUAACAAACGAUACACCCCGACAAUCAUUUCUCCUCUUAUGAGUCAAAUUCAUAAUUUUACCUAUUAUUAGACAUUUCAAUUAAAAAUGAUGAAUAAGUGAUAUAAGUGAUAUAGUUAAAUUAAAUCUUUUAUGAUAUUUGAUAUCUUAUAUUAAAAAUUAGUUGACUUAUUACACUUUUAUUUGGGUUUUAAAAAGGGAAAAUUGUUUUGGACCCAACUGGUCCAAAAAUUAACAUUUGGUCCAUGUAACUUCCAUAAUUGAUAGAAAUGUUAUAAAAGGUUAAAAGACCAAUAUAUCUUUCAAAUUUCUAUAUAUAUUACUUUUUAAGGGUAUAAAAUAGUGAUGGACUAAAAUACCCUAUGACCUUUGACAUAAGUUUUUUUUUUCUUUAUUGCACCACUAUUCAUGCAACCAUAAUAAUUAUAUUUUAACAAUUUAGAUUUUUCAUUGUUUUUAAUUUUUUUUAUAAAUAAUUGAAAAUCAGCAUUAUUUUCUAUUUUAAAUUAUAAAUAAAGAAAAAUUAUGUUCAAAAACUAUUUUAAAAAACACUUUCUAAAAAAAUGGUAAUAUGAUUUAUAUUUUCUAUAUUUUCUUUUUGAAAAAACAUUUAAUUAAAAAAUGAAAAUUAUUUUUAAAAAUAAAAAUUGAAAACCUUGUUUAGUACUAUUUUUUUAUAUGAAAAUAAUAAAAAGAAUUAAAUUUCAUUCCUUGAUUAUCUAUUUUUAUUUUUUUUCCAUUAGUUAUUUUAAUAAUAAAAUAUAAAAAAUAUAAUAUGUUUACAAUUAAACAAAGAAAUUGAUCAAUUAUGUGUUUUUUGUGGGAAUAUCUUUUACAUGAAAAAUAAUUAAAUAACUAAAUUAUAUAUAUAUAUAUAUAUAUUACUCUUUUUAAUUUUAUUUUCUUUAUUUAUUUUUUGUCUAUUAGAAAAUUUUAAUAUAUCCAUAAUUAACAAAGUAAUAAAUCAAUUGUGCAUAUUUUAAUCUAUUAAAAUAAAUUAAUUUCUAAUUUAAAUAAAUAAAAUGAAAUAAGUAAAUAAAUUUAGGGUUAUUUCUAUUUUUUAACAUAUCUUAAAUUAAUAUUUUUUAUGGUUAAAUAAUUUUUUUUAAUUCCAAAAAUAAAAUUAAAUAAAUAAAUAAAUUUUAUAUUUUCUAACUGAUCUUAUAUUCAUAUUUCUUAUGGUUAAAUAUAUUUUUUAUUUUUUUCUUUAUUUUAAAAAAUAAAAGGAAAUAAAAAAAUAAACUUGGCUUAAAUAAUAGUUUUUAAUUAAUUUCUUUGUCUUAUUUUUAAUUACAUUUUGCAUUGAAAAUAAAAUAAAAUAACGUUUUAUUUGUUUUAAUUAUUUUAAAUGUCAAACUAUUAGGAACAUAGUUUACACACUCAUGUGGAUAUAAUUUAUACAUAUAUAUAUGAAGUUUAUACCAUUAUACAAAGUUAUUACACUAAUUAUAUAAGGGGUGUACAAAAUUGUACAUUUUGAACAACUUUCUUUUUUUUUUCUUGUCAUCUGAGAAUUAUACGUUCUCCUACCACAAAUUCAUAUAACAAUUCAAAUACUUACCUUAAUAAUGAUGUUUAGAGAAAUUUUUUUUUUUUUACGUUUUAUAUCAUUUUUUAAAUCAAACCAUUGGAAACAUGGUUCACACAUCAUAUGUGACAUAUAAUAUAUGCAUAUGGAUGAAAUUUGCAUCAUUGUACAAGGGUGUUAUACUAACUAUACAAGGUAAAUGUUCAAUUGGACAAGACAAAUAUUCUAACUAUAUAAAACAAAUGUUCUAACUCUACAAGGGGUAUACAAGGCUAUCAUUUGUGAAAGAUUUUAAUUAAUUUUGGACAAUUUUUUUUUUUUUUUUUGUCUUGUCAUCUAAGGAUUGCACACUUUUAAGGUACACAUUCCUCUAUUACACAUUCAUCUUAUACACUUUAUUUAACUCGCACAUGAUAAUUCGAAUACUUAUCCUAUUAAUGAUGUUUGAGAGAAAAUUUUGUUUUUCCAUCUUCCACUAUUUUUUGAAACAAACCAAUGAAAACAUGGUUAAACUACCUAUGAUUACACGUUAAGUAGAGGGUAUAAUGAAUUUGAGUCACUGUACAAAAUAUUUACACUAAGUGUACAUGACAAAUAUACUAAUUGUACAAGGGUGUACAAGACUAUUAUUUGUGAAGGAAUUUGAGUGAUUAUGAAAAACUUGUUUGUUUAUUUCCUCUAACCGAGGAUAAAUGACAUUCCUUACACACAUUGGUUAAACAUACAUUCAUUUCAUGCACUUUAUUUAACUUGUAUAUGGUCAUUUGAAUAGGUACCUCACUUAUGAUGAUUGUAAAACAAAAUUAUACAAUAAUUUUUAUUCUUUUUUAAAACCAAACCAAUGCAAACAUGGUUAACCGACCUAUUGUCAUAUAUUCAUGAGAUAAUGUAUAAAAUUUGAGUUAUUGUAUAAGGGUAUUACACUAACUGUACAAGACAAAUUUACUAAUCGUACAAGGGUAUACAAGACGCUUUUUGUUAAGAAUUUUAAGUGAUUUUGAAAAACUUUCUCAUUUGUUUCCACUCAAAGAUUUUUUUCCCCACUCAAAUUCUCUCACUCAAGAAUUGUUUCGAAUUUUAUUUUUAAAUUUUAUCAACAAAAUUUUGUAAUUGCAUAUUUUGUUUUUAUAGUUUUAGCAAUGUUCUUUCUUUCCACUUUUUUUUUUUGUGAAAUUUUAUCCAAAUGAAUCUAUAUUUAAAAUUAUAAUCAUAUUUAUCAAAUUUUUUACUAAGAUUAUCUUUAAUUCUUUUAAUAUAUUUAUAUUCAUUUAUUUAAAAAAUAAAAAACUAAUUUUUUUUUUGUAAACAUGUUCUAUUACCUUUCAAGAAUUAGAUAAGUUUGAAAGUCAAUAAAAAUAAUUAAAUACCACUUUCAAUAAUUUUUAGAUAAAAUUUUAUAUAAUAUAUUUUAUUUGAAAUUUAAUUUCUAAAGUUUAACUAAAAAAUUAUAUUUACAAUUUUUUUGUUGUGAGUCAAAAUACUUUACAUUAGUCUAUUUAGAUAAGAAAAAUUAUUAAUAUAAUAUUAGAAUUUUGUAUCUUAGUUAUUUUUUUCAAUAAAUUUAUCUUUUUAAAAAUUUUAAAAUAAAAACAUUAAAAAUUAAAAGCUAAAAGGAGAUAUAUAUAUAUAUAUAUAUAUAAUAAAGUGAAGUGAUAGUCAAUUUUUAAAUUUUUUAAAAUAUGGUUAAUAUAGAAAAUAUAAAAAAUAAUUAAAAAUAAGAAAAAAAUAUAAAUGAAAGGGUAAUAUAAAUUUAAAAUAAAAAUUAAAAAUUAAACUAAAAGAUAAAAAAAAUAUUUGGAUGAAAAAUCCCAAAAUUUUUAUCAUUGCUUAUAAUAAAAGCAAAAAGAUUCAAUAUCUUUAAAAAUGAAAAACAAACUUUUUAUUUGACAUAAAAUAGAAAUAUAGAUCGGAAGAAAAAGAAAAAAAAUUAGAAAUGAGUAAUACUUUAUAGGGAAUAGAAAAGGGAAAAAAAACACAAAAAAAAAUUAAAAUUCAUAUUUACUUGUGCCUAUGUAAGAGUUAAAGGUAUUUUAGGGAUUAAUAAAAAAUAAUAUCCUUCAUCUUAAUUUUCAUACUUUGUUUGGGUCUUGGAUUUAAAUAUGUAUGAUAUAUGAACUAAAUGUUAAUUUUUGGAUUCGGCUGAACCCAAAACACGAUUCUCCUUUUUAAUAAAAUCCUAUUAUGUAUUAUUCAUUCAUUGAAUAUGGUAGCUUAACAAUUAUUAGAGGUUUAAUAUAAUAUUGAAAUUUGUUCACGUUUUUUGUUAGGCGAGCUCACAGAAUUUAAGUCGAAUUGGCUUUUAGAUUGCCGCUUUGGAAACCAGCGGUUUCACUCCUUUUUUGGCGACUGCCACCAUGAUAAUACUUGGUUGACCAUGCAUGUGGGUGAAAACCCAAUCAUGCCCACAUCUAACUCCCUUUAGCAUUACAAAUCCAAGAACAAAGUAGUCAUUCCAAUUCAAAAGCAAACAAAGCCAUGAAUACUGCUGGCCACAGCCUCUGGUUUUUCGUAAACUUAGGGCACCAAAUCCAAACCCAUCUCUUUCCUAUAAAACCAACCCACCUUCACUUCAUCUUCUUCAUCACAACCCAAAACACUUUGAUUUACAGAGAGAUAUUCAAUAUCCCAUUCACUACUCAGUAUCAGUUCUUUUACUGUUGAUUGUUGUUUGAGUUUUGGAGGAAGAAAAUUAAGAAGAUGAGUCAUAUGGGGAAAGCUUGGAUAGUGGCAGCAAGCGUGGGAGCAGUGGAGGCACUCAAGGAUCAGGGCUUCUGCAGAUGGAAUUACACUAUGAGGUCUAUUCACCAGCAUGCCAGGAACAGCCUCAGGUCUUUUUCUCAGGUCAAGAAGCUCUCUUCCUCUUCCGCCAUGGUUUCUAGCAGAGUGAGAGACGAGAAAGCAAAGCAAUCAGAGGAGUCUCUGAGGACUGUCAUGUACCUGAGCUGCUGGGGACCCAACUGAGGAAGCAGAUCUGGAUAUGAAGAUGAUGAUCAUCCUACCACUGAAUCUUCCAUGGAGGGCAUAUCCCAAGAAAGUGAUAAGAACAAUCUUAGGCCCCUCUCUCAAGCUAGGAGCCUCUCUUCUUCUUCUUCCUAUAAGAUGGGUGUGAAGAGUAGUGGGGAAGAUGAGAAAAGGAAGAAGAAGACACAGAAAACAUUGGGGAAAGUCAUGCACUAGAGCUCCUGGGUCCCCAGUGGAGCAAUGGAUACAGAUUUUGCGGUGCAAUAUAAGAGUAAAAAUUUUGUAGACAACUGCAGAAAGAUGUGAUGAUCUUCAUGCGUACUUCAAAAAAAUGAAAUCAGAUAUCAGAUUUAUUAUCAUAAUAUUGUGUUGCCUUUUAUCAUUUUUUGCCAUGGGAUCACUAUCUUUGUUGGUUUUGAUUGAAUUUGAGCUUUAGCAGAUGGAGCAAUCAAGAGUUUGAAGCAAAAAGCACUUAAGAUCCACCUUCAGUGCAAUAUAUUUUGUUUUGAAUUGAUUGUGCAGGCAUUGUUCACCCCACAAUCCCUUCCUCCUCUCAGUCAAACUCAUAACUAUGGCUUGGCUCUAAUUUCAAUUCUCAAACAUCUUAACUGAAAAUCAUACUGAUGACUAAUAACAAUAAGUUCAACCUUUUAUGGCCUUUUUUUUUUUUCGGAGUGAUUGUUUGCGUGAUUCAUUUCAGACUUAAAAGAAUGAUGUUAUUGUGCCUAUACACAAAUUUUAUACUCAUGGUUUUAAUAGAAUCCCGUUCACUAUGUGAAAUUAAUAGUUUAAUAUAAUAUUAGAGUUUUAAUAUAUAGUAUUAUUUUAUAUUUUGAAAUUAGUAUUUUAAUAUAAUAUUAAAAUUUGUUCAGAUUUUCUGUUCGUUUUCUUGUUUAUUAAUCUUAUGGUUGGGUUUGAAAAAUGGAAAAUUUGAGAAAAAAAAAUGUGAGAAAAAAUUGAAAAAUAUACUUAAAAUUAAUAAAUUAUUUUUAGAUGCUUCAUUAAAUUUAUUAUAUUUUUAUAAAUUAUAAUUACAUUGAAUAAUUUAAAAAUAUAAAUUUUUUAAAUUAAUUUUAAUGACUUUUUUUUCCUUCUUUAAAAUUUUCAUGAUAAACUAGAAAUUGUAAAAUCAUUUGUGUUUUUUUCACCCUAUGUUGGACUUUUCCGGCCAAAUAUAGCUUAACUUUAGGGUUGUAAUUUGGACAAGUUGAUCGGCCUGAUCAUUGAUGGUCAAUCCAGACUCAAUCCAACCUUAUUUUUAAAAAAUAAAGUUAGUUAGUGGAGUUAAACUCAAAUUGAUUAGAUUAAACUUUAUAUUAAAACUUGGAUUGAUUAGGUUAAAUUUUAUGUUAAAAUUUGGAUUGAUUGGUUUAAAUUUCACCUUAAAAUUUGGAUUGAUUGGGUUAAACUUGAGUUGAUCCAAUUGAUUGAUUGUGUUGUAUAAUUCAAAAUUCAUUAAUAAUAGUUUUUUUUUUAAUUUUAUACAUUUAUACCAAAAUUUAGUUAGUAAUAAGACAAAAUUUCAAACAAUAAUAAUAAUAAUAAUAAUAAUAAUAAUAAUAAUAAACUCAUUUUUUUUUUCAAAAAAUGAAAAAAAUAUACUAAAUGAUCACAAUUUAAUAUUUUUCUUUAAAAUUUUAAAAAUAAAUAAAUAUUAUUAUAUUAGAUAAUAAAUAUUAUAAAAACAUUAAAUUUGGUUUGACUCGGAUUAUAGCCUAAAUCUAAUUCAAAUUGAAUUUUGGUUGUGAAAAAACUUAACCCAACCAAAUAUUGGAUUAAGUUGGGUCAACCCGUCAAAGUUAUACCCGUGACUUGUUUGGGCAUCUCACAGAAUUUAGUCAAACAGCUGAAAAUUAAUGGACUCCAGUGGGCAGAGUAAGUAAAGCAAAUUGUUUUGGAUUGCCGCAUUGUCACUUCUGAAACCAGCGGUUUCAGUCCUUUCACCCUUUUAGCAGGAAAACAGGGGGCACACCUCCUGGCAACUGCGACCAUAAUAACACUUAGUCGGGAAUAAAAAUGUAGCUGAAAAACCAAUCAUGCCCAAAUGUAACCUACUUUAGCAUUACAAAUCUAAGGACAAAGUAGUCAUUCCAAUUCAAACCAAACAAACCCAUGAAUACUGCUGGCCACAGCCUCUGGUUUUUGCCAAACGUUGGGCACCAAAUCCAAACCCAUCUAUUGCUAUAUAACCAACCCAUCUUCACUUCAUCUUCUUCAUCACAACACAAACACUUUGAUUUACAGAGAGAUCUUCUAUAUCCUAUUCACUACUCAGAAUCAGUUCUUUUUAUUGUUGAUUGUUGUUUGAGUUUUGGAGAGAGAAUUAAGAUGAGUCAUAUGGGGAAAGCUUGGAUAGUGGCAGCAAGUGUGGGAGCAGUGGAGGCACUCAAGGACCAGGGCUUCUGCAGAUGGAAUUACACUCUGAGGUCUAUUCACCAGCAUGCCAAGAACAACCUCAGGUCCUUUUCUCAGGCCAAGAAGCUCUCUUCUUCCUCUUCCGCCAUGGUUUCUAGCAGAGUGAGAGACGAGAAGGCCAAGCAAUCAGAGGAGUCUCUGAGGACCGUCAUGUACUUGAGCUGCUGGGGACCCAACUGAGGAAGAAGAUAUGAAGAUGGAUGAUCACCAGCAUACUAGUGAAGCAUCGAUGGAGGGCAUAUUCCAAGAAAGUGAUACGAACAACUUAGUUCCCUCUUUCAAGCUAAGAGCCUCUCUUCUUCUUCUCCUCCUUAUUCUUAUAAGAUGGAGGUGAAUAGUGGCGGAGAAGGUGAGAAAAGGAAGAAGACACAGAAAGUAAUGGGGAAAGUCGUGGGCUUGAGCUCCUGCGGUCCCAGUGAAGCAAUGGAUAGAGAUUUUGAGGUGUAACAUAAGAGUAAACAUUUUGUAGAGAUCUGCAGAUAGAUAAGAUGAUUUUAAUGUGUACUUAAAAAAAUGAAAUAAGAUUUCAGAUUUAUCAUCAUAAUAUUUGUGCCAUGGGACUAUCUUGGUUAGUUUUUUAGAGGGUUAAAAACUAAUUCUACUUUGGAAGAAAGGAAUCACCUUCAAAUUAAGCCAUCUUUCGAGCAGUUUGGAAAAACCCUUAUCUAAUAAAGACCUCUAUAAAGUACAAAAAGGUUGUGCUUUUACCAUAAAAAAGGUUGUUUCAAGCCCGAGAACAUCAGAAAUCAUCAUGCCAAGGUUGAUAGAGUUGCUAACAUACAGAUAAGAAAUUUUACCCAAAAAAAUAAAAUAAAAAAAUUAAAGCUUUGUCUUGAAAAGUCUCUCAAAUUCAGAUUCAUUUUUGGAAGAAGAAUAAGAGAUAUCUAAGUGAAGUGAGGGGUUCGUGGACAGGAAAUUUAAGAUAUUUUAAUAAUCCAAUAGUUUUAUUUGAUUUUUAUCAUAGUAUAAUAAAAUAAUUCUCUUUUAUUUGUGGAUGUAAGUUAAUCAAAACAUGUUAAGAUCUCGUGUAUUUUUGUGUGAAUUAUUUUAUUUUUACAUUCUAAAAUUAAUAUUUUUGUAUUAAAGCUUACAUUGAUACCAAAGCUAUGUUGAAGAUUUGUAAAAGAACAAAAAAAAAAAAAAAAAUAGUACACAAAAAAAAUGAUAAAAUGAAUUUUAAUUGAAAGUGAAGUUGAUUGUUUCCAAAACAUGAUACAAAAAAUAUGUUAUGAAAAGAUGAAAAAUUAACUUAAUGGAAUUUGAUGUCGAGAUUGUUCAAGAGUGCCUUAAAUUCUUAUUAAUAUUGAUUGAUUUUUAUAAGGAAUAUUGUAUAUAAUAUAUUUUAAGUUAAUAUAUUAUUAUAAUAUUAGAUUUCUUUAUUCAGUAAAGAAAGUUAUUAAAAAUAUUUUUAUAAAUAUUUUAAAUCUUAUAAGAUGAAGAUUAACUUGUAAAAAUUAUAUGAGAUGGAUAAAGAUGUAUAAAAAAAAUGAAAGAUAUCUUGAAUGAUGUAGUGAAAUGAUUCUCUCAUUCGCAUAUAUAGGCAUGAUUCAUCGAAUCAUAUUAAAACCUCAUGUAUUUUCCGGUGGAUUGUUUUAUUUUUAUGUUUUUAAACCAAUAUGUUUGUGUUAAGAUUUUCCCUUACCCAACACCUUCAACCCUCUCUUUUAUUUAUUUUUUUCAUUAUAUUUAUAAAGAGGUUUAUCCAAAGAUCUCAAUCCCUUGUCCUCAUCUUACCGUCUUUGAUCUAUCCGAGGAAUUUUAGUUUCUUUGGUAAUGAUUAAUUUUGAAUCUUACAAAACAAAACAAUCAAAAGUUUGAAACAAAGCAAGAUGCAUCAUUUAGACAAUUGGUUCAAAGGCUUCAUGAUAGACGUUACAUCCCAACAGUCAUUUAUGCUCUUAUAAGUCAAAUUCAUAAUCCAAUGUAUUAUUAGUUCAUUAUGUGAAAUUAAUAACUCAGCUAACAUUAGAGGUUUCAUAAAACACUAGAAUUUGUUCACAUUUUUGUUAGGUGAGCUCACAGAAUUCAAGUCCAAUUGGCAACUACUCCAAAAGUGAAUGUUAUUGAACUCCAAUAAGCAACUUGUUUUAGACUGCCGCAUUGUGGCUUUGGAAACCAGCGGUUUCACUCCUUUCACUCCUUUAGCAGGAAAACAGGGGACACAUCUUUGGCAGCUGCCACCAUGAUAAUUCUUAGUAGGGACCACACAAGUGGGUGAAAACCCAAUCAUACCCACAUCUAACUCCCCUUAGCAUUACAAAUCCAAGGACAAAGUAGUCAUUCCAAUUCAAACCAAACAAACCCAUGAAUACUGCUGGCCACAGCCUCUGGUUUUUUCCUAAAGUUUGGGCACCAAAUCCAAACCCAUCUCUUUUCUAUAAAACCAACCCACCUUCACUUCUUCUUCUUCAUCACAACACAAACACUUUGAUCUACAGAGAGAUCUUCAAAAUCCCAUUCACUACUCAAAUCGGUUCUUUUUAUUGUUGAUUGUUGUUUGAGUUUGGAGAAAGAAAAUUAAGAAGAUGAGUCAUAUGAGGAAAGCUUGGAUAGUGGCAGCAAGUGUGGGAGCAGUGGAGGCACUCAAGGACCAGGGCUUCUGCAGAUGGAAUUACACUAUGAGGUCUAUUCACCAGCAUGCCAAGAACAACCUCAGGUCCUUUUCUCAGGCCAAGAAGCUCUCUUCUUCCUCUUCUGCCAUGGUUUCUAGCAGAGUGAGAGAUGAGAAGGCAAAGCAGUCAGAGGAGUCUCUGAGGACUGUCAUGUACUUGAGCUGCUGGGGACCCAACUGAGGAAGAAGAUAUGAAGAUGGAUGAUCACCAGCCUACAGCGAAGCAUCCAUGGAGGGCAUAUUCCAAGAAAGUGAUAACUCAUAAGUGGAGUGGAGAUCAGUUUCAUGGAAUUUUUCCUAGAAGACAAACAAGGUGGAAAUCCAGAAAUUAAUUAGAACCAACUGCUAAUAGUUGGCGUCUCUGAGUUAGGAAUUUGUUAGCAAAAGGCAGCUUUGGUAUAUAUACUAAUAUACGAGAUGAUUUCAAUGUAUAUUUGAAAUAGAAAUUAGAUUUAUUAUCAAAACGAUUGCGUUGUCUCGUCUUUUAUAUUUUCCAGAUCCAAACAGAUCCUAAAGGCCCUAAAAUUUUUGUUGUAUCAUUUUUAUGCUAAAAAAUUACACAUAGAAAAAUUAACUAAAUCAUAAGUAGCUUCUAACCAUGAAUUGUUUUUUUUUUUUUAAGCCUAUAAAUUUUAUGCUUUAGAUACAUGCAUUAAAAAUCUAUCUAAACCAUAUAUAAUUAUUUUAAUGCAGUUAUAUAACUGAUAAAAAUAGAAAUAAAUUUAAUAAAUAUAAAAUAAUAAAAUAUUAGGAUAAGUAUUGAAGAUCAAUUUUCAGUCUUCAAACUUAAUCGAACUUGAAAGUGGAUGGCGAUGGAUACAAUGAUUUGAGCCAGGUCUUAAAUCUUUAACUUAAUGGAGCAAUUAUUGUAAUCUACUUAAUAAUUGGUCAGUAUAAAAUUAAAUAAUAAUAAAAGGAGAAAGAAAAGGACACGUGUUUGACGUGGACGUUGCCAAAACAGCGGUUUCAGACAGGCCUUUUACUGCCCGAGCGCCAGUGGAUUAACAAAGAAAACAAUGAGCACAUCAGUGGAAGCGGCACCAGCUACCAAGUAUGCAGCUGAAAUGCCCCUUGGAAUUACAAAUCGAAGGACAAAAGAGUCAUUCCAGACCAACCCAGAAAUACAGCUGACCCCUGCCUCUGGUUUUUCCCCAAACCUUGUGCCUUUCUCUAUCUAUAUAAUCCAGCCCACCUUCUCUCCAUCUUCUUCAUCGCAACACAAACGCUUUGAUUUACUGAGAGAUCUUCCAUAUCAAUUCACUACUGAGAUUGUUGUUUGGGCUUUGAGUUCUUGGGAAAGAAAGUUAAGAAGAUGAGUCAUAUGAGGAAAGCUUGGGUGGUGGCAGCAAGCGUGGGAGCAGUGGAGGCACUCAAGGAUCAGGGCUUCUGCAGAUGGAACUACACUCUGAGGUCUAUUCACCAGCAUGCCAAGAACAACCUCAGGUCCUUUUCUCAGGCCAGGAAGCUCUCUUCUUCCUCUUCUGCAAUGGUUUCUAGCAGAAUGAGAGACGAGAAGGCAAAGCAGUCAGAGGAGUCUCUGAGGACUGUCAUGUACCUGAGCUGCUGGGGACCCAACUGAGACGUUCCACAUUUCGAGUGAUCAAGAAGAAGAUGAUGAUGACGAAAGAUUCAUGGAGGGAGCAUGUGAAGGAAGUCAUGAGAAGGGGAGAUGAAAACCAUUAAUGGAGAAGAGAGAUCCAUCUGUGGAUGAAGGCAGUGGAAAUUUGGAGCCGAGUGAGUCAUGGGUAAUGGUUCUUAUGAGUUGGGAAAUUAUCAGCAAAGUGCUUUCUCAACCUCAGAUGCUUUGGGAGGAAUGGGAAUUUACCAGAAAAUUG
rnacentral:lncRNA from 1 species